CUGCGCCACGCUGCCCCGGCCGCCCAGCUCCAGACACAUUCUUCAGCUCUGAUCUCUGGCUCUCGGCUGUGUUUCUGCGUGAGGUUUCUAGCCGUGGUGUUUUUAACUCCAUGGUGGGCUGACCUGACCUCACACUGAACUGGAUUUCUGAGAGGAUCGGAUGUUCUCGAGUCUCCAGGAGGGCAGUCGGCCGGCAGACGGACUGGCUCCACGCUAGACUGGGCAUCCGUACACAGUCAA